rnacentral:rRNA from 1 species
ACUUAAAUUGAAGAGUUUGAUCAUGGCUCAGAUUGAACGCUGGCGGCAGGCCUAACACAUGCAAGUCGAGCGGUAGC